AAACUUAAAACGCACCCAAUAAUACAAUAUUUGAACUUGGUCUUCAAAAAGGCAUAGUCUACAAAUCCACAGGGUGAUCUGAAGUGCCAAUCUUCACCUUUCCAUCAACACCUUUUGCAACCUCUGUUACAUCAGAAUAAUACAUAUCAUAACUUGCCACAGAACGAAUCUCUUGGAGAGAUCAAAUUUCUCAAUUUUAGUGAACGCUAGAAUGAGACAUUCGGCUUUGGUACUAGUUUGUUAUGAUAAAAGAAGAAAAGAACUAGUUCGUCGAAUGUGAAAAUGUCUAAAGAGAAGAAAAAUAAAGUACAUAAAUAAAUUACACGGUUCGUCCAUUGGUCUACAUCCAUUGGCGAAGAUAGAGUGGGGACCUUCAUUGUAAUCCAAACAAAGUACAAAAGAUGCCUCUAUUACAAAACCCUAACCUGAUAAUACACCCCAUACUCUCUAUCCUCUGCUGCAACCAAAUCAAUAAAAUGAAAAGUAUAUUUAUAUUUGUGGCUAAAUUGCAACAAGACUCGGAGUAAAAUCCAAUAAGAUUAGAAAUAAUCUCAGCUUUACUAAAUGGGAUAAUUAAAAUAGAAUAGGGUUGUGAAAUCUAGCGAUUCUAGAAUUCGAGGCAUAUCUAAUAAAUUUCCACCUUGUGUUAAAUUCUAUCUU
rnacentral:lncRNA from 1 species